GUGUGUGGAUUUGACUGACAAAGACAGAUGUUGCUUCCGGAGAAAAGAAAGAAAAUGGUAUAUUUUUUCCCAGGAAGUGCACCAUUCUUCACAAAUGUUUUUCUCUCAGCCUUUGCCACACCCACAGGAGCCUGAUGAUACCACUAGUCCUUGUUUUAUGGAAGGAGAAACUGAGUCAUACACCAGGCAUGAAGACACAAAAAACAACACACAGUCCCUAUUAUUAGGGCUCCCAGCCGGAUGGGAGACAAGCAUGGAGGGAAACCUGAGCCAAUAGCAAGCAUCUCUAGGAGAGUCAUGGUGCCUGAGCCUUCGAUAUUUUCAUGCUGAAAGAAGACCACCCUCAAGCAGUCAGAGCAAUAUGGAAUGUACCAUCAAA